rnacentral:pre_miRNA from 2 species
AGCUCCUUGUUGGAGAAGCAGGGCACGUGCAGAAAGUGCUUGAAUUGGUGCCACAUAUAUCAUAUAUAUAUAUCACCUUCUGCACGUGCUCCCUUUCUCCAACAUGGGUUC